rnacentral:rRNA from 1 species
ACAGCGGAGGGAUCAUUACCGAGUUUACAACUCCCAAACCCCUGUGAACAUACCAAUUGUUGCCUCGGCGGAUCAGCCCGCUCCCGGUAAAACGGGACGGCCCGCCAGAGGACCCCUAAACUCUGUUUCUAUAUGUAACUUCUGAGUAAAACCAUAAAUAAAUCAAAACUUUCAACAACGGAUCUCUUGGUUCUGGCAUCGAUGAAGAACGCAGCAAAAUGCGAUAAGUAAUGUGAAUUGCAGAAUUCAGUGAAUCAUCGAAUCUUUGAACGCACAUUGCGCCCGCCAGUAUUCUGGCGGGCAUGCCUGUUCGAGCGUCAUUUCAACCCUCAAGCCCAGCUUGGUGUUGGGACUCGCGAGUCAAAUCGCGUUCCCCAAAUUGAUUGGCGGUCACGUCGAGCUUCCAUAGCGUAGUAGUAAAACCCUCGUUACUGGUAAUCGUCGCGGCCACGCCGUUAAACCCCAACUUCUGAAUGUUGACCUCGGAUCAGGUAGGAAUACCCGCUGAACUUAAGCAUAUCA